rnacentral:rRNA from 1 species
UACGUAGGGGGCAAGCGUUGUCCGGAUUUAUUGGGCGUAAAGAGCGUGUAGGCGGCCAGGUAGGUCUGCUGUGAAAACUCGAGGCUUAACCUCGAGAUGUCGGCGGAAACCAUCUGGCUAGAGUCCGGAAGAGGAGAGUGGAAUUCCCGGUGUAGCGGUGAAAUGCGCAGAUAUCAGGAGGAACACCAAUUGCGAAGGCAGCUCGCUGGGACGUUACUGACGCUGAGACGCGAAAGCGUGGGGAGCAAACAGG